rnacentral:rRNA from 1 species
GCUAGCGACAGGCCUAACACAUGCAAGUCGAGGGGCAACAUGGUAUCAGCUUGCUGAUACCGAUGGCGACCGGCGCACGGGUGAGUAACGCGUAUGUAAUCUACCUGUAACAGAGGGAUAACCCGGAGAAAUCCGGACUAAUACCUCAUAGCACAUAUUAUUCGCAUGAAUUUUAUGUUAAAGAGACUCGGUUACAGAUGAACAUGCGUUCCAUUAGCUAGUUGGCGGGGUCACGGCCCACCAAGGCAACGAUGGAUAGGGGUUCUGAGAGGAAGGUCCCCCACACUGGUACUGAGACACGGACCAGACUCCUACGGGAGGCAGCAGUGAGGAAUAUUGGUCAAUGGGCGGAAGCCUGAACCAGCCAAGUCGCGUGGAGGAAGACGGCCCUACGGGUUGUAAACUCCUUUUACCUGGGAAUAACGGGCGCUACGUGUAGCGCUGUGCAAGUACCGGGAGAAUAAGCAUCGGCUAAUUCCGUGCCAGCAGCCGCGGUAAUACGGAAGAUGCGAGCGUUAUCCGGAUUUAUUGGGUUUAAAGGGUGCGUAGGCGGAAGAAUAAGUCAGCGGUGAAAUGCUUCAGCUCAACUGGAGAAUUGCCGAUGAAACUGUUUUUCUAGAGUAUAAAAGAGGUAUGCGGAAUGCGUGGUGUAGCGGUGAAAUGCAUAGAUAUCACGCAGAACCCCGAUUGCGAAGGCAGCAUACUGGGCUAUAACUGACGCUGAAGCACGAAAGCGUGGGUAUCGAACAGGAUUAGAUACCCUGGUAGUCCACGCCGUAAACGAUGAAUACUAACUGUUU